rnacentral:rRNA from 1 species
GUGGGGAAUCUUCCGCAAUGGACGAAAGUCUGACGGAGCAACGCCGCGUGAACGAUGACGGCCUUCGGGUUGUAAAGUUCUGUUAUACGGGACGAAUGGUACGACGGCCAAUACCCGUCGUAAGUGACGGUACCGUAAGAGAAAGCCACGGCUAACUACGUGCCAGCAGCCGCGGUAAUACGUAGGUGGCAAGCGUUGUCCGGAAUUAUUGGGCGUAAAGGGCGCGCAGGCGGCGUCGUAAGUCGGUCUUAAAAGUGCGGGGCUUAACCCCGUGGGGGGACCGAAACUGCGAUGCUAGAGUAUCGGGGAGGAAAGCGGAAUUCCUAGUGUAGCGGUGAAAUGCGUAGAUAUUAGGAGGAACACCAGUGGCGAAAGCGGCUUUCUGGACGACAACUGACGCUGAGGCGCGAAAGCCAGGGGAGCAAACGGGAUUAGAAACCCGGGUAGUCC